GGCUGAAAUUCGCCUUCAUGAAGCCGGAAUUGCUAGUAAUGGCAGGUCAGCAUACUGCCGUGAAUACGUUCCCGGGCCUUGUACACACCGCCCGUCACACCAUGAGAGUUGGGAAUACCCGAAGCCUGUGAGCUAACUUUUAGAGGCAGCAGUCGAAGGUAGAAUCAAUGAUUGGGGUGAAGUCGUAACAAGGUAAC
rnacentral:rRNA from 1 species